rnacentral:piRNA from 1 species
CAAACAACAUUAAAUGGACUC